rnacentral:rRNA from 1 species
CCUACGGGGGGCUGCAGUGGGGAAUAUUGGGCAAUGGGCGAAAGCCUGACCCAGCAACGCCGCGUGAAGGAAGAAGGUUUUCGGAUUGUAAACUUCUGUCCUCAGGGAAGAAGAAAGUGACGGUACCUGAGGAGGAAGCCCCGGCUAACUACGUGCCAGCAGCCGCGGUAAUACGUAGGGGGCGAGCGUUGUCCGGAAUGACUGGGCGUAAAGGGCGCGUAGACGGCUGUCUAAGUCUGGAGUGAAAGUCCUGCUUUCAAGGUGGGAAUUGCUUUGGAGACUGGAUGGCUUGAGUGCGGAAGAGGUAAGUGGAAUUCCCAGUGUAGCGGUGAAAUGCGUAGAGAUUGGGAGGAACACCAGUGGCGAAGGCGACUUACUGGGCCGUAACUGACGUUGAUGCGCGAAAGCGUGGGGAGCGAACAGGCUUAGAUACCCCGGUAGUC